AGUGGCGGACGGGUGAGUAACGCGUGAGAAUCUGCCUUGGGGUCGGGGACAACCACUGGAAACGGUGGCUAAUACCGGAUAAGCCGAUUGGUGAAAGAUUUAUUGCCCGAAGAGGAGCUCGCGUCUGAUUAGCUAGUUGGUGAGGUAAGAGCUCACCAAGGCAGCGAUCAGUAGCUGGUCUGAGAGGACGAUCAGCCACACUGGGACUGAGACACGGCCCAGACUCCUACGGGAGGCAGCAGUGGGGAAUUUUCCGCAAUGGGCGAAAGCCUGACGGAGCAAGACCGCUUGAGGGAGGAAGGCUCUUGGGUUGUAAACCUCUUUUCUCAGGGAAGAACCUCUGACGGUACCUGAGGAAUCAGCCUCGGCUAACUCCGUGCCAGCAGCCGCGGUAAUACGGAGGAGGCAAGCGUUAUCCGGAAUUAUUGGGCGUAAAGCGUCCGCAGGUGGCGAUUCAAGUCUGCUGUCAAAGCACGGGGCUUAACUCCGUAAAGGCAGUGGAAACUGAAUAGCUAGAGUGCCGUAGGGGUAGAGGGAAUUCCCGGUGUAGCGGUGAAAUGCGUAGAGAUCGGGAAGAACAUCGGUGGCGAAAGCGCUCUACUGGACGGCAACUGACACUCAGGGACGAAAGCUAGGGGAGCGAAUGGGAUUAGAUACCCC
rnacentral:rRNA from 1 species